rnacentral:lncRNA from 1 species
AUCACUGGCGUCAACGUGAUGAUCGUAACUGCAGUUACGAUCAUCCCAAUAUGGUGGACACAAAUAUAGGGAAAUUUUAUAAGGCUGAUUACUCCACUUUAACAGGUUAUUUUCAGAUAUGUAUUAUUUCAAGAAACAUCUUUAUAAGCAUUGCCAAUGAAAUAUUUUUUCGGACUGGAUGGAAAAGCAACAAGAAGAAUGAAAAUCGA